CAGUAGCCGCGGUAAGAUAGAGGAUGCAAGCGUUAUCCGGAAUGAUUGGGCGUAAAGCGUCUGCAUGUGGCUUUUCAAGUCCGCCGUCAAAUCCCAGGGCUCAACCCUGGACAGGGAGUGGAAACUACCAAGCUAGAGUACAGUAGGGGCAGAGGGAAUUUCCGGUGGAGCGGUGAAAUGCGUUGAGAUCGGAAAGAACACCAACGGCGAAAGCACUUUGCUGGGUCGACACUGACACUGAGAGACGAAAGCUAGGGGAGCAAAUGGGAUUAGAUACCCCGGUAGUCCCUGUCUCUUAUAC
rnacentral:rRNA from 1 species